GAGAUAGAAGCUCUCCAGUUACUGACAUAGGACAGUCCCUGGUAUUUGUUUCCACCGGUGACAGGCAGAGCGGAUGGUGGCUUUUCAUUAGGGGAGGUCAGAGAGCUGGGUCGGCUACAGAGCAGUGUCAGGAACACCUUGCUGUAAGAGGCUUGUUCAAGGGCACGUUAUAUGAUAUUAAGUUCUGUCAUCUUAUGUUAUGUUAUGUUAUGUUAUAUUUUAUUUUAUGCUAU